CAGCACUUCGCCUGACGUUGUGCUGAAACCGGAUAGGUUUUCGCAUCUCGUUCGGUACUUUUUACACGUCAGCACUUUGCUUAUAACGUGUGCAAACUUCUCGCACGGCAGCUGGCACAGGAGAUUGAUUUAUAUACACGUGAGGACCGUCCUUGGAGAGAUCAGAUCAUCACAAGACUGCUUCCAUCUAUUGCAAAGCCAAGCCAAACCAUGAGACCAGCCAGCACAGUGAUGAAUCCGACCGGGAAGGAGACAGGUGCAAAAAACACUUGGCGGCUGCUUGAUCUGCAAUGCCGUACUUUUUGUAGCGUGUCGUAAAACCCCUGUUAAGCUGGAGAAGUUUGCGAAUUGCGGUUUUGUUUUUGCUCCGAGCAGUCAUUUAUUAUAAACUGCCGAGGGAAGUCUGCACGUUGUUUUUCGAUUGUGUUGACAGAGGAUCCGUUUGUGAGGACCAUAAAUCACCCGUGGAAAUUCGAGCUCUAUUUAUUUGCCGUUUUGGCGGAUGGAAUUCGUUGAUGGCAGUUUUACGAGUGUGGAAAAUUUCCUGGAAAUGAAAUUUUCGUCAACGAUUAGUUUUGCUAUAUAAUUAUACAAUUUUGUAAUGUUUUCUUACCAAUAAAAAUAACAUUUGAAA